rnacentral:rRNA from 1 species
UACGGGGGGGGUAAGCGUUGUUCGGAAUUACUGGGCGUAAAGCGUGCGCAGGCGGUGAUGUAAGACAGAUGUGAAAUCCCCGGGCUCAACCUGGGAACUGCAUUUGUGACUGCAUCGCUGGAGUGCGGCAGAGGGGGAUGGAAUUCCGCGUGUAGCAGUGAAAUGCGUAGAUAUGCGGAGGAACACCGAUGGCGAAGGCAAUCCCCUGGGCCUGCACUGACGCUCAUGCACGAAAGCGUGGGGAGCAAACAGG